rnacentral:rRNA from 1 species
AGUGGGGAAUAUUGCACAAUGGGCGCAAGCCUGAUGCAGCGACGCCGCGUGAGGGAUGACGGCCUUCGGGUUGUAAACCUCUUUCAGUAGGGAAGAAGCGAAAGUGACGGUACCUGCAGAAGAAGCGCCGGCUAACUACGUGCCAGCAGCCGCGGUAAUACGUAGGGCGCGAGCGUUAUCCGGAAUUAUUGGGCGUAAAGAGCUCGUAGGCGGUUUGUCGCGUCUGCCGUGAAAGUCCGGGGCUUAACCCCGGAUCUGCGGUGGGUACGGGCAGACUAGAGUGCAGUAGGGGAGACCGGAAUUCCUGGUGUAGCGGUGAAAUGCGCAGAUAUCAGGAGGAACACCGAUGGCGAAGGCAGGUCUCUGGGCUGUUACUGACGCUGAGGAGCGAAAGCAUGGGGAGCGAA